CAUAAUCUAGUUGAUUGUACCAUUAAACAAGGUUUUACUUACCCUUUUAUUUUAUUUUUGUGCGUGUGACAACUAACACACACAAUAUUAAGAUAACCAUCCAAGCAAACGAAAACAAACGUCAAAAAUAGGAGUUAGGUUAAGUUGAUUGCACCACGUUAUUUAUCAAGUGAUACCGUGAUAAGCCAGCAUAUGAAGUGCAACAGUGUCUAAUUUCUUCGUGAAAAAUAAUAUAGGUCAGUUUGGUUUAUUUUUUAAAAAGAAAAUUACCGUUUGUUUAUUUUAUGAAAAUCAACC
rnacentral:lncRNA from 1 species